rnacentral:rRNA from 1 species
UACGUAGGGGGCAAGCGUUGUCCGGAUUUAUUGGGCGUAAAGAGCGUGUAGGCGGCCAGGUAGGUCUGCUGUGAAAACUCGAGGCUUAACCUCGAGAUGUCGGCGGAAACCAUCUGGCUAGAGUCCGGAAGAGGAGAGUGGAAUUCCUGGUGUAGCGGUGAAAUGCGCAGAUAUCAGGAGGAACACCGAUUGCGAAGGCAGCUCGCUGGGACGUUACUGACGCUGAGACGCGAAAGCGUGGGGAGCAAACAGG